GGGCCUUCAAGCUCAUGGCAACUAUUCAGCAUUAAUGCGACUGAGUCCUUGGCAGUUUCCAUCCAUUGUGGUUGUCCACCUGGUUGGGGUGGUCCCAUUUUCGGUGGUGGAUGUCCAAGAGGAAAGCCGUGCGCUGCCAGCGGUGGUGGUGGUCCUGGAGGCCCACGUGGAAACCCGAAGCCCCCAAGCUGGGGAGGAGGUGGUCCAGGUGGUGGGCCUUGUUUAAGAUCGGAAUCUGUCAAAGCCAUUUCUUCAGGUAACCCAGGAAGCAAAAUUGUCUCUCCAGGCUUGAUAUCUACUACGCGAGCCUUCCACAUGGCGAACUCCAGAGCUGCUGAACACGCACCCGAGGUGAAAA
rnacentral:lncRNA from 1 species